rnacentral:lncRNA from 1 species
GGGGCGACAAUUAGAGAAUGGAAUGUAGAGCAGGUUUUGGAUUUUGCAAUAUUUUUUUUAAUAUUUAUUUUAAAGAAAAAAAUAAAAAUAAAAUUUUUUUAUUAUUAACAAGAUUAUUCAUCUCAUGAUUAAAAGAAAAAAAAACGGUAUUCUUUUUUUUUUUUAAAUAUAUUUUUUAUAGAUAUAUACCAUAUCGUUGGUUGAUAUGUACCUCUAAAUAAAUCUAAACAUAAUUUA